rnacentral:tRNA from 1 species
GACCGCGUAGCUCAGUUGGAAGAACAUUGGGCUAGUAUUCCAAAGGUCGUAGGUUCGAAUCCCACUGUGGGCG